GAUGAAGAACGUAGCGAAAUGCGAUAAGUAGUGUGAAUUGCAGAAUUCAGUGAAUCAUCGAAUCUUUGAACGCACAUUGCGCCCCUUAGUAUCCCGAGGGGCAUGCCUGUUCGAGCGUCAUUUCACCACUCAAGCCUGGCUUGGUGUUGGGCGACGUCCCCUUUGGGGACGCGCCUCGAAACGCUCGGCGGCGUGGCACCGGCUUUAAGCGUAGCAGAAUCUUUCGCUUUGGAAGUCGGGGCCCCGUCUGCCGGAAGACCUACUCGCAAGGUUGACCUCGGAUCAGGCAGGGAUACCCGCUGAACUUAAGCAUAUCAAUAAGCGGAGGA
rnacentral:misc_RNA from 1 species